rnacentral:rRNA from 1 species
UCAAGCUACAAAGGGCGCAUGGUGAAUGCCUUGGCAUCAGGAGCCGAUGAAGGACGUGAUAAGCUGCGAUAAGCUUCGGGUAGGCGCACAUAGCCUGAGAUCCGAAGAUCUCCGAAUGAGGAAACUCACAUGGGAAACCCCAUGUAUCAUUAAGUGAAUACAUAGCUUAAUGAAGGUAACCCAGGGAACUGAAACAUCUAAGUACCUGGAGGAAGAGAAAGAAAAAUCGAUUUUCUUAGUAGCGGCGAGCGAAAGGGAAAGAGCCCAAACCGGAAACUUGUUUCCGGGGUUGUGGACAUAACAUAAAAGUGGAGGCUAUUGUAACUGAAGAGAACUGGAAAGUUCCACCGUAGAAGGUAAUAGUCCUGUAAGUGAAACGAGAAGACCACGAGUUAUGAUCCAGAGUACCACGAGACACGUGAAACCUUGUGGGAAGCAGGGAGGACCACCUCCCAAGGCUAAAUACUACCUGAUGACCGAUAGUGAAGCAGUACCGUGAGGGAAAGGUGAAAAGAACCCCGGGAGGGGAGUGAAAUAGAACCUGAAACCGUGUGCCUACAACCGCUCAGAGCCCCUUAUGAGGGUGAUGAGGUGCUUUUUGUAGAACGAGCCAACGAGUUACGGUAUGUAGCAAGGUUAAGUACUUAAGGUACGGAGCCGAAGGGAAACCGAGUCUGAAUAGGGCGACUAGUUGCAUGCCGUAGACCCGAAACCGGGUGACCUAUCCAUGGCCAGGUUGAAGCGAGGGUAAAACCUCGUGGAGGACCGAACCACGUUGCUGUUGAAAAAGCAUGGGAUGAGCUGUGGAUAGCGGAGAAAUUCCAAUCGAACUCGGAGAUAGCUGGUUCUCCCCGAAAUAGCUUUAGGGCUAGCGUCGGAUAUGUGUAGUGGAGGUAGAGCACUGAAUGGGCUAGGGGGCAUAGCGCUUACCGAACCUUAUCAAACUCCGAAUGCCACAUACUUUGAGCUCGGCAGUCAGACUACGAAUGAUAAGAUCCGUGGUCAAAAGGGAAACAGCCCAGAUCGUCAGCUAAGGUCCCAAAGUGUAAGUUAAGUGGGAAAGGAUGUGAGAUUUCUAAGACAACUAGGAUGUUGGCUUAGAAGCAGCCAUUCAUUAAAAGAGUGCGUAAUAGCUCACUAGUCGAGAGAUCUUGCGCCGAAAAUGUAACGGGGCUAAACUUACCACCGAAGCUACGGGCUUGAACUUAGUUCAAGCGGUAGGAGAGCGUCGUAACCGGGCUGAAGUCGUACCGUAAGGAGCGGUGGACUGGUUACGAGUGAGAAUGUUGGCAUCAGUAGCGAGAUGUGGGUGAGAAUCCCACAGGCCGAAAACCUAAGGUUUCCUCAGGAAGGUUCGUCCGCUGAGGGUUAGUCGGGACCUAAGCCGAGGCCGAAAGGCGUAGGUGAUGGACAACUGGUUGAUAUUCCAGUACCACUACCAUCGUUAUUAUCGAUGGCGUGACGCAGGAGGAUAGUGUGUGCUAGCUAUUGGAUGCUAGUCUAAGCGUUUAGGCAGUGAGAGUAGGCAAAUCCGCUCUCAUAAUGCUGAGGCGUGAUGGGGAAGGUUCUACGGAACCGAAGUACAUGAUUCCACGCUGCCAAGAAAAGCGUCUAGAGAGAGAAGUAGUGCCCGUACCGCAAACCGACACAGGUAGGUGAGGAGAGAAUCCUAAGGCCGGCGGAAGAAUUACAGUUAAGGAACUCGGCAAAUUGACCCCGUAAGUUCGCGAGAAGGGGUGCCUACGAGAGUAGGCCGCAGAGAAUAGGCCCAAGCAACUGUUUAGCAAAAACACAGGUCUCUGCUAAAGCGUAAGCUGAUGUAUAGGGGCUGACGCCUGCCCGGUGCUGGAAGGUUAAGGGGAACACUUAGCGCAAGCGAAGGUGUGAACUUAAGCCCCAGUAAACGGCGGCCGUAACUAUAACGGUCCUAAGGUAGCGAAAUUCCUUGUCAGGUAAG